rnacentral:rRNA from 1 species
UACGAAGGGUGCAAGCGUUACUCGGAAUUACUGGGCGUAAAGCGUGUGUAGGUGGUUCGUUAAGUCUGAUGUGAAAGCCCUGGGCUCAACCUGGGAAUUGCAUUGGAUACUGGCGAGCUAGAGUGCGGUAGAGGAUGGCGGAAUUCCCGGUGUAGCGGUGAAAUGCGUAGAGAUCGGGAGGAACAUCUGUGGCGAAGGCGGCCCUCUGGCCCAGCUCUGCCGCUGAGGCGCGUAAGCGUGGGGAGCAAACAGG